rnacentral:rRNA from 1 species
UACAGAGAGUGCAAACGUUGUUCGGAAUUACUGGGCUUGAAGCGCACGUAGGCGGCAUCGUAAGUGUCGGGUGAAAUCCCACGGCUCACCCGUGGAACUGCCCGGCAGACUGCGAUGCUCGAGUGUGGUAGGGGAGAACGGAACUCCUGGUGGAGCGGUGAAAUGCGUAGAUAUCAGGAGGAACACCGGUGGCGAAGGCGGUUCUCUGGUCCACAACUGACGCUGAGGUGCGAAAGCCAGGGGAGCAAACGGG